GAGAGCCGUAUGCGGUGAAAGUUGCACGUACGGUUCGGAGGGAGGGUGUUCGUUGCCAGUUAUACACUUGUAUAAUCACGGUGCGGGCAUUCGACCCUAC
rnacentral:ncRNA from 1 species